rnacentral:rRNA from 1 species
GCUGUUAAGGGUUCGUAGUUGAAUUGAGGGCUGUCAAGGAGACGAAAAAGUCCCGUYUUCGGUAGGUGACCUUCGCUCUUGCAGCUCGUGAACAUCAGAAACAAACAUCUCGGAAGCGUUUCCUCCCAUCUUCGCAUGCAAUGUAUGCAGGGAGGCGUCCGUGUGUAUUACUGUGACUAAAAAGUGUGACCAAAGCAGUCGUUCGACAUGAAUUAGAAAGCAUGGGAUAACAAAUGUCAGCCUACGGGCUACCGUUUCGGCUUUUGUUGGUUUUAGAGGUCUGUAGGAGAUUAUGGCUCGCACGACAAGCGGUUCGGGGUUCCGUCCCCACGCCUCCAUCGUUUUCGGCUUUCGGGCCGUGGCGGUGGCUUGCGGCGUCCGGAAUGAAGGAGGGUUGUUCGGGGGAGA